rnacentral:lncRNA from 1 species
GUCUUCCCGGGCUAGCUCGGUUAUCAAAGUCUUCAAGUGCCUUGUAUUGAAGCGACUUUGUCCUCUCUUAGCUCGCCUUUCAAUCUGAGUGAAGUCAAGCAACGAAUAUGUAUUAAGAAGAAGCUCUGGUGCCCGUGAUCGGGAAAGCUUCACGAUCCUAAUCCAGAAUGCUGAAAGAGAGGGUUCUGAACAAUAAGUAGGAGCUGCAUAAGCAGACGUUGAAAGAGGGUCUGCCAACCC